rnacentral:rRNA from 1 species
CCUACGGGUGGCAGCAGUGAGGAAUAUUGGUCAAUGGGCGGGAGCCUGAACCAGCCAAGUCGCGUGAAGGAAGAAGGUACUUAGUAUUGUAAACUUCUUUUGUCGGGGAACAAAGGCGGAGACGCGUCUCCGGAUGAGUGUACCCGAAGAAAAAGCAUCGGCUAACUCGGUGCCAGCAGCCGCGGUAAUACGGAGGAUGCGAGCGUUAUCCGGAUUUAUUGGGUUUAAAGGGUGCGCAGGCGGGAGAUCAAGUCAGCGGUAAAAUGUCGGGGCUCAACCCCGGCCGGCCGUUGAAACUGGUUUUCUAGAGUUGGAGAGAAGUAUGCGGAAUUCGUGGUGUAGCGGUGAAAUGCUUAGAGAUCAUACAGAACACCGAUUGCGAAGGCAGCUUACCAAGCUACUUCUGACGUUGAGGCACGAAAGCGUGGGGAGCAAACAGGAUUAGAUACCCGGGUAGUC